rnacentral:lncRNA from 1 species
CAGGGGAUGGCAGAUAAAGUCAGGACUGAAAACUUACGUCCCCAUGCUCCAUAUCAGAACAUCUCAAAUUUGAGCAAACAUGAGGAUCAGCGGCAGAACUCGACACUCAGAUUCCUGUGUCUCUCGCCCAGAGAUUUCAGUUCAGUGGGUUUGGGUGGGACCCAAGAAACUAUUUCUGAUAAGUUCCCAGGUGGCCAUGCUGCUGGUCCACAGACCACACUUUGAGAAUCACUGCUCUGUACUACCCCAUUUCUGGCUACUCGUCCUUGUCCCAAGCCAUCAGACCUCAUCAAGGCCCACUAAUUGUCCAGUCUGGCCCAGUGGGCACAAGUGUUUGUGUUGGUCCCACUGAACUGGAAGUUCAGGUGGCAGUAGUUGGUCAUCCUUGCCCAGGACUGUUCUAAACAGAAUCCAGGAAAAGGGGCCAAGCAGGCCUCCUGUUCCACUCCCCUGCCCCACCUCCUGUCUCACCCAGCUUGAGGGUAGAAGGAGUUCUCUGUUUGCUAGGAGUAAAAAGGAAACUGUACCACAUUAGAGCAGUCAUGGGAGGGCUUCUGAGUCCACAGGUGCCCCUGCCUUUGCCAAUACGACCCGUGUCUCCCUCAUCAGGAUUCCCAAGGGGCUGAGACCUGCCUUCUCUCUCCUAGAGGCAAGCCCUUCAGGCCCACCAGCGACCCUCAGGGCCUCCUCUGUGAUCACCCUAUCAUCUUCCUGGCGCUGGGACUCAGGCUGCCAGAGCUCUGCGACUGAAACUAGAGCUGUGGGGGCCACCUUGGGGCCAGUGGCAGCCUGUGGGGAGCACACUGUGGGCAGGAGCCUUUAGGGGGUGGAGCGAAUCGUCACCACAGGGAGCUCCUUUGUGCUGGCUGGUUUCGGGCUACACUUUGGGGCUACGGAGGAUGAGUUGCCCAGAAACACUUGGCCCAGCUGAGGUAAAAUCACCAGUCUUCUGUACUUCCAGAUGCCCCUCUUUUAGAAUUCAUACCCUUUCAUUCAAAGAGGCUCAGAGCUCCAGUCUUGGUACGGCAAAGGGAAAUUUCUGGAAAAACUUAGGCAUUGGACAUUGGGGACUUCACAUGUGGCCUUUGGUAGGGUUAUUAAAAACAUCAUAGGGGCACCUUCAUACGCUGUUGGUCGAAGUGGAAAUUUUUCCCUUCUCUCUGAAAGGAAACAUGACAAAGUAUAUCAAAGACCUUUAAAUGUAUAAUUCUGCUUCUAGGAAUUUGCUUUAGGGAAAUAAUUGGA